UACGUAGGGUCCAAGCGUUAUCCGGAAUUACUGGGCGUAAAGAGUUGCGUAGGUGGCAUAGUAAGCGAAUAGUGAAAUGAUACGGCUCAACCGUAUGUCCAUUAUUUGAACUACUAAGCUAGAGUAUGGGAGAGGUAGAUGGAAUUUCUAGUGUAGGAGUGAAAUCCGUAGACAUUAGAAGGAACACCGAUGGCGUAGGCAGUCUACUAGCCCAUUACUGACACUAAGGCACGAAAGCGUGGGGAGCGAACGGG
rnacentral:rRNA from 1 species